rnacentral:lncRNA from 1 species
AAGAUUAUGCUUUAAUGAGUUUAAAUUAGGUGUAUUUGUGAAAAUAUUCCCAAAUUUGUGAGUGGAAAUUUUUAAAAAUUGAGUGAGACCAUCAAUUCUCAAGUGUAGUUUCUGGGCCUAAUACAGUCUUUCGUUGCCCAGCUCUCCUGACCUCAUCUAUUUUGAUUAAAGUUUAAAAUGCAUACAUUACCAAAUGCUACAAACCAACAUCAUUGCUGAGAAAAGAUGCUUAGGUCGUUGAAUUGACGAAGGUACCAUUUUAUCUCAUCCCGUGAUGUCCUCAGGGAACACUUUCAAGGGGAUGCAGAGGAGUGUUGUUUUUCAGCAUUUACAGCAACAGAGCAUGUGCCAAACCCAAGUCAUGCUUCCUCUUGACCUGUGCUUCUGCUGAAAGAGUCUGGCCUAUAAUCCAGCCCACGGAUACCCCGGGGGUGUUUUCUAUCAACCUUUGCUAAUCUAUCCAUCACAUUAGGGAAGUCUUCCCAUGCUCAAAGAUGCCACUAGGAGCACAUGGACAGCUGAAGCUUUUAAAUAAAGUUGGUUCUAGAAAUAUGAAGGGGAAGUACUGAGCUUCUUUGGUGUUUCUUUAUGUUUCGAGAUAUUUCUGGACAUCUGAAAGAACUCGGGCUAAAUUAAUUUACAGGUCAGUUAUCCCGGGGGAAAAAGUACAGGUAAUAAAAAUAUUUCCAUUGUAAUAGGCAUUAAAAGGAAAUACUGAUCUCAGAAUUAUUCUAUUGGCAUUCUGGUUCCAGAGAAUCUUAGUUCAUGUAUUCAUGUAUUCACAAAUCAGUGAAUGGUAUGUAUGUCUACAUACAUUAUGGUUGUCAACAAACAUGACCUAACAUACCUAAAGACAGUGUGUCUCAACUGAUGUGACCCAUUAGUGAUUUGUGAAAUCAGUGUUGUGGGCUGUAACUUUCACUUUUUUAUUUUUAAAUGAAAGCUACUAUAGAAUAAAACGUUCUCCGAGUGUGUCCUAUAUUGAAAGACAAGUAUGGCUUAGUGAUGUGUUUAUUUCAGUUUGUGUAUGUUUAGUGGAUAGUAUGUCACAAUGUCAGAUAAAAUUUAAAGCCAAUAUCAUAGGAAGUUUAUGUCCUUUUGGUAAUAAUAAAAGGUCACGCUUUUAAAAAUUCCUCUCUAAAAAUGAAUUCUAAUUUCCAAAGCUCUGUGUGUGUGCAUGCAUGUGCAAAGAAUAAGAGUGUGGGCUUUUGCUUACAUACUUGUGUGUGUUUGUGAUUCUACAACAGAAAGAGUACUUGAAAAAAAUUAAUAUUUUACUGCAGGAUUCCAAUAGCCUUCACCAUUAUUUCCAGUCUUAGCCACUUAGAAGUAGCAGAACAUUCUCUUCUCCGGCUCACUGGUAACAUUGUUAAAAUUUGUUAUUGUGUCAUGAAAAAUGACCUCACUCCCAAAAAAGAAAUGUAGGCAAGGACUGGGACAUAAAAGACCAGGUUAAUUGGCUGAUUACAGCUUUUAUACCUGGGCAACGAAACAAGAGUAGCAUUUCUGAUUUUUCUAUAAAGACAUCCUCAAGUCUUUUGGUAGAACUCCUAGGAUGAGUUUUGAAACUAUAAAAUUCUUUCUGUUAUCUCCAACUUGGAGAUGUAGACACAUGUCUUUGACUUUACAAAUGAAAACUAAAGUUUACACAAAGAACAUAGGCCCUUCUUGAGGCUAUACAAAUAAUUUCAGAGCAAAAUUUAUGAUGUCUAGAAAACAGGCCUCGUUGCUUACCAUGGAUGCUUAAUUUGUAUUUUCAACAUAUAUUUAUAGGUAAAGCUUUUUUGUGAACAGGAUGUUCAUCAGAUCAAAUGCAUGGAUGUAAUUAAAUUUCUGCUUGUUGGGACUUGUUUUAUAGCUCUUAUGAAAAGUAAAUAUAAAUAAAGCUGCUUUGGAGAUUUAUGCCUUUUCUAACAUUUGACUAGAAAAGCAUGGGAAGUUAACCAUUUCCGUGAGGAAGCAGAAGUGCUCUUGUUUAUGUUCUUUAAGAUACUAAAGGAGAAAUGAAGCCUAGACUAGUUUCUAGUGACAAAUACAAGUAAGCAGAGUUCAGAACGAACUCUGCUGUCUUAGAAUUUGAUGAUUUAAGGGUCCUUAGCUCCUGGUCUGUUUUCACUGUUCACAGUUUACGUCUAGAUCCUACAGAUGUCUUUUCUAGGCUUCCACCAUUUUUGAAAAACAUAGUGUCCUUCUUCUCUCCAGCCCCAGCCCUCUUUGCAGAUCUGAGUUCUGCUGGUUCUUUGAAACUUCAAACCAAUUUCCCUGUAACUCCCAGCCCCUCCUGGUUACCAAAACCUGAAUUAACACCCUCUUAAAGUCCUAAGCUACAAACUAUUGCAUCAAUGACAAUAAGAAUAUACUUUGCACAUUCUGUCAGUUAUUGCUUUUUAAAAUUUAGAGGCUUUUAAAAAUAGAUUACUUUCAGAGACCAUCUUCAUGGGGUUCAAAGAUGUUACUAAUCAGUAACAUUAAGUAUAUUCCUGGGUCAUGUCUAGAAAGGACCAAUAAUGAGAUGAAAACUUAAAAGAGAAACAAGGAAAAAAUAAUGAGUGAUAAAAUAUAGGCUUAUAAUUGCAAAAUGUCAUAAAAAUCCUCAUAUUGAUAUAUGAAUAAUUAAUAUGAUUAAUUAAUAACUGUUUUAUCAUCUUAUACUAGAUAUUUGGAGUUAGCACAUGCAUUUUUCCAUUCUCACAUUUAUCUUUACUGCCUCUACUUCACAGUAUACCAAUAUUCCAAUUAUUUGGCAUCAUUUAGGAUGACUCUGGUUGCAAGUAACAGAAAACCCAGCUGAAACGGACAACAAGAGCAUUCGUUGGCUUAAAGCACUAGAAAUCUAGGGGUUGGACAGGUUUUGUGUUUCUCUGAAUCUGCUGGGUCUGCUCCAUUUGCCUGGAGUUCAUUUGGCUCUGCCGUUAUGUGUCCACUGGCGUCUUGUUGAAGCUGCAGCAGCUUUAUGCCCAAUGUUGGCAGAUUGGUCUUGCUGGAGCUGCAGUAGCUUCAUGCCCAAUGUUGGCAGAGGACAAAUUGUCCAAAGGGGAAAGAGAAAGGGGAGUUUCAUAACCAUUCCAAAAGCAGCAGGGACAAUCUCUCCUAAGAUGAUUCUCCGGUGAUGUCCAUGUGCCCUUUUGCCAAAUUAUGCCAUGUGACCCUUCCUACAAACAUAACCAGGCCAAUCACAUUCACAGUUUGAGCUGAGACACCGGAGCUGAGUAGAAAAUAAGAUGCCUCAACAAAAAUGGAGUUCUCUUGGGAAGAACGAAUUAGAGAAAAGAUGCUGAAAAGACAACCAACAACCCUUACUCCCACUUUCAAAAAAAAACUCUUCUUCCCAAGUGAAUGCAAAGCUUUCUAAUGGCCGGUAUGAGGUUCAGUAAGAAUAUGUGUUGGCUUUGCUAAAUAUAAAUUUCUCCCUGGGUCUAUGUUUCCCAUAAUGAUUUCAUAGGUAUAUUAUUUGGGGAAACUAGUAAAUAUUUAAUUACUUUGGAAGAAUACAUUUUGUGUGACAUCGAGAAUGACUUUUCCUCGGUAUUCUGCCUACCUGUAAUAGUAUUGGGAACAUGGUGAUUCUCCAAAAAAUAGUGAUGCUGAUUCUCUCCAUUUCAAUGUAUUUUCUUUUAGCAAAAAGCUGUGCUUUGCAGGUCACUUAAUAUUCUGAUGCAAGCAGGUCACUUAAUAUUCUGAUGCAACAGAACUUUCGAAGGCCCUUAGUCUAUAUUUAAAAGUGUUUAAGAAAAUUAGCUCACUGAUUACUAGUGAUGAUGUAAUCUUCCACUGUUGCCAUGGUAGCUUUUGGUAGUAAGGAUAUUUCAUUUUUAUUGUUUCAUUCAUAAGGAAUACAACAAGAAAGUACUGGUGCUUAUAAGCAUUAUCCCAUAAUAUCUAAUAAUCCCAUUAUUAGAUAUUUGAGAAAGAGUUAUUAUGUUUGGGAUAGUUUUUCCCUCC